UGCCAACCCAGCAGAGAGCAAAAAUGUAAAUGUCUCCCAUUCCCUCAACAUUUACCAGGAAGAACUCAACAUUAUUUUCAUGGGGAGGAUGCCACAUGUUCAUGUGGGAUUACUCAUGCUGUGGCUAUCCUCUCCAUGACAACUAUACUACCCUAAGCUCACUUAACAGCUGAGCAGCAACUUACUGGAGAAUUUUCUGGAAAAACUAGUUCACAUACUGUAUAUUGUCUGGGUCAGAUUCUGGAUGUAUUUACCUUACCAUCUACAAUGGAAAUGUCUUAAGUAAAACUAUAUUGGGAGGAAAGGCCACUUUAAGGAAAUAAAUAAUUGAUAAUUUUAAUAGUUUUUCCAAGUUAGACUGCUCUGAAAUGGCACCCUGUUUUGAGGGACAAAAGUUUGAAAUGAUAAAAUACAAAUCCAUGUUUUAAUAACCGUUCUUGUAUCCAAAGGUUUGGAUCCAAAAUAAUGGGAAAAAACUUAUCAGUGCAAGGAGAUUUUUAUGCUUUUGCUUUCUGGGAACCUUUCAAACCAAUUUAUCUCAGGUAGAACAUGACACGCUGGCAGAGAGAGGUGUAAUUGGAUAUACAUAGGCUUGGUUCGCAUAUCACACUAAACUGCAAUGUAGUUUGGUUUUGGUUCAGUAAAAUGCAUGAACUUACACUACAGUUUUUAAAUAAUAUUUUAGGCAUUAAUGUGAUACAUGGAUCAGUGUUAAGUGUACAGGUAGUCUUCGUUUAGUGACUACCUCACUUAGUGACUGUUCACAGUUACAGAGGUCUGUAAAGGAAAGCUGAAGAAAGAUCAUAAGCACAGUCAUGGUUUCACUUAGCAACCACUUCGCUUAAUGACCAUGUUGCCGUUCCCAAUUGUGGUCACUAAACGAGGACUACUUGUAUAUGAAAUUUACCUUCUGAUUCAACUGUAGCUGAUGUAUUGGCUUUCUAUAACUCUGAGUGCCCACUAGAGGGAGACUCUUUGAUUUAAAGCAGUAAUUGUAAAGGCAAAAGAUAGCUUGGAUGGGGAACAAAUAUGAGAUGGAAUUAGCAGUUUUUGUUUUGUAAAAAUGAAAACAUAUUUUAAAUCCUAUGUGAAACGUUCCUUGAAACAUGUCACAUUAUGAAAGUAAUAUUGAGAGUUCUUGUUCUACUCUUCCUUUUAUGCUUUCUUACAGUGUUUCAUUAUUAUUCAGUUGAAGUCUUUCCUUGGUAAUUCUGACAUGAAAAAAUGGAGGUCUGUGCAAAUUGGAGAAAUCACACAGUAUUUUUAUUGAACUAAGGCAAUAUGUGAAAAGAUAUUACAUAUGGUAAACAGUCAUAUUGUUAUUGUUAGGAAAAUUCUAAUGGGUCUUCUGGAUUCUGUAUUUAUUAUUAGUCUUGCGUAUUAGCAUAUAAUCUCAUUUAUUUAUUUAUUGCUGUGGUUCCCAUUUAUGCUGAAUCAUGUGUGCAAAAUUUUCAAGUGUUUAUACUGAAAAUAGCUCAGACAGAAUUCCAGAUCAGUAGAUUUCAAAGACAGGGAUCUAGCAAAAGCAGCAUAUUUUAACCAAAGGAACUGGCAUAACUAUUUAAAAAUAGGCAAAAUAGAAACAUUUUUACUCUGGCUGCAAUCUUGUAGUUGCUUACCUGGGAGUAAAUCUCAAUGAUCUCAGCUGAAUAUACUUUUGAGCAGACAUACUUAAGUAGAGAUUCUUAAGAAUAUGCUAAGAAAUAAUUCUUUUCCAAAUCAUUGAAUAAGUAAUUGGUAAAUAAUUGUCAACUUUUAUUUCAUCUCUGCAAGAUUUCUUACAUUUUUUCUUGAGGAUUAUUCAGGUAAGGGCCUCACCUCCUCACUUCUCCAAAAUAUACAUAUAUAUUGACGAUACAAUGAUACGUUUUAAGCUUUACCUCUGCCAUUCUACCCUAAAAGGACACAAAUGAUCAUAAAAAUCCAUGAAACUAGGAACGUAUAAUCUAAAUGCAAUCUGUCUAGUGCAGUGGAACUUCUAAUAAAAUAUUGGAUGAAUAA